UAAUUAAAUAGAAAAAGAGGAUAUGCGCUAACAUAUCCCCUUUGUAGAACCGUUUAAGACGGUAGCGCUAAUUUAAUUAUCUAAAA
rnacentral:sRNA from 1 species